rnacentral:rRNA from 1 species
GUGCCAGCCGCCGCGGUAAGACGUACUGCGCGAACGUUAUUCGGAAUCACUGGGCUUAAAGGGUGCGCAGGCGGCUUGUCAAGCCCGUGGUGAAAGGUCCCGGCCUAACCGGGGAUGUGCUUCGGGGACUGACAAGCUUGGGCGAGCUAGGGGUCUGUGGAACUCCCGGUGGAGCGGUGAAAUGUGUUGAGAUCGGGAGGAACGCCGGUGGCGAAAGCGACAGACUGGGGCUUGGCCGACGCUCAGGCACGAAAGCCAGGGGAGCGAACGGGAUUAGAAACCCGGGUAGUCC